rnacentral:rRNA from 1 species
UACGUAGGGACCAAGCGUUGUUCGGAUUUACUGGGCGUAAAGGGCGCGUAGGCGGCAUAUUAAGUCAGCUGUGAAAUCUCCGAGCUUAACUCGGAACGGUCAGCUGAUACUGAUGUGCUAGAGUGCGGAAGGGGCAAUCGGAAUUCUUGGUGUAGCGGUGAAAUGCGUAGAUAUCGAGAGGAACACCUGCGGCGAAGGCGGGUUGCUGGGCCGACACUGACGCUGAUGCGCGAAAGCCAGGGGAGCGAACGGG